UAGGGAAGUCUUCCACAAUGGGCGGCAAGCCUGAUGGAGCAACACCGCGUGAGUGAAGAAGGGUUUCGGCUCGUAAAGCUCUGUUGUUAAAGAAGAACACGUAUGAGAGUAACUGUUCAUACGUUGACGGUAUUUAACCAGAAAGUCACGGCUAACUACGUGCCAA
rnacentral:rRNA from 1 species